GACCAGAGCCAGUUGCUGGGAGCCCACACCGAACCCAUUGCCCUAGCCAACAUUCCCUUCCAGAAAAUACACCUUCCCCAUUCUGAAGAAACUAGUCUCUCCGGUCUUCUCUGUGAACACAAUAACCUCUGCCUAGGAUGAUGAUGAUAAUGAAUAAUUUAAGGAAAAUGAUGAUGGAGAUCUUUGCAACUACUGAACACAAGACCUAGGAGCACAUCGUUGACAUAAACACCAACCCCUCCUCCCCGACGCAUGAAUAGCUGCCCCUUGCCACUGAAGAUGAUGAUUCUGAUGGUGAUUUUUAAUAAAGGAAGAAUGAACAGACUUUUCUAUCAUUCUCCAAAGAUUCAUGAUCUGCCCUAUAAUUGAUAAAGAAUGGAUCCACA